GGCAAGGUGGCAGAGUGGUUAAUGCGUCAGCCUCGAAUAGUAAGCUGAUUCCUUAGGGAGCGCCGGUUCGAAUCCGGUCCUUGUCG